rnacentral:rRNA from 1 species
UCCCUACGGGGCGCAGCAGUGGGGAAUAUUGCACAAUGGGGGAAACCCUGAUGCAGCGACGCCGCGUGAGUGAAGAAGUAUCUCGGUAUGUAAAGCUCUAUCAGCAGGGAAGAAAAUGACGGUACCUGACUAAGAAGCCCCGGCUAACUACGUGCCAGCAGCCGCGGUAAUACGUAGGGGGCAAGCGUUAUCCGGAUUUACUGGGUGUAAAGGGAGCGUAGACGGCAGAGAAAGUCUGAAGUGAAAGCCCGCGGCUCAACCGCGGAACUGCUUUGGAAACUUUUCGGCUAGAGUACCGGAGAGGU